AACGACUCUCGACAACGGAUAUCUCGGCUCUCGCAUCGAUGAAGAACGUAGCGAAAUGCGAUACUUGGUGUGAAUUGCAGAAUCCCGUGAACCAUCGAGUCUUUGAACGCAAGUUGCGCCCGAAGCCACUAGGCUGAGGGCACGUCUGCCUGGGUGUCACGCA
rnacentral:rRNA from 1 species